UGGAGAAUAUUGGGCAAUGGGCGAAAGCCUGACCCAGCAACGCCGCGUGAAGUAUGAAGGCCUUCGGGUUGUAAACUUCUUUGAUCAGGGAAGAAACAAAUGACGGUACCUGAAAAACAAGCCACGGCUAACUACGUGCCAGCAGCCGCGGUAAUACGUAGGUGGCGAGCGUUAUCCGGAUUUACUGGGUGUAAAGGGCGUGCAGGCGGGCUGAUAAGUCAGAUGUGAAAUCCCCGAGCUUAACUCGGGAACUGCAUCUGAUACUGUUGGUCUUGAGUGCUGGAGAGGAUAGUGGAAUUCCUAGUGUAGCGGUAAAAUGCGCAGAUAUUAGGAGGAACACCAGUGGCGAAGGCGGCUAUCUGGACAGUAACUGACGCUGAGGCGCGAAAGCGUGGGUAGCAAACAGG
rnacentral:rRNA from 1 species